CCCAGCUGUGCUCUCCCGGGUUCGUCUCCACCACGUGCCGUAUCACCAACGACGCACGUCACCUUCUUUUUUUUUUUUGAGGGAACCUUCUUCUUCUUCUUGCCUUUCUCCUUCCGCGUAUGUAUCUUUCCCCCAACACGCAUUAAAAUGCACAUAAAGCAUGCAUUUUGAUUUUCUUUUCCAUGCAUAUGGCUGCCUGAUAUUGGAGUAAUGGGCUUCCGGAAAUUGAUUUUUUUCAUGCAUUUUGAUUUUUGAAUAUUAACUUCAAAAUUUCUAAAGCUAAAUCAAAAGUAGAAUGAGAGGUUAAUGGAGCAAAAGAACAUGAACUUACCUUUUACCAAGAUAAUGAUAGCUAGACCAUUGGAAAAAAAGAACGGGCUGCGGUAGCAAUCGUCAUUAGAGAGUUGGAACAAAAGGAAAGACGUCAAUGUUUAGCACGACACAUCCUGCGUCACACUUGACUAGGAUGUUUCAUAAAUAAAAAAUUCAUAUUUAAUCGAUGUUUUUAUAUGUAUUUUAUUGCAUUAGUUUGCGGCAACUAUGUACGCUAUGUGUAUGCUAACAUUCCAGACGGAGAGAUACCGCAAUAC
rnacentral:lncRNA from 1 species